UACGUAAGGUCCGAGCGUUGUCCGGAAUCAUUGGGCGUAAAGGGUACGUAGGCGGAUAAGCAAGUUAGAAGUGAAAUCCUAUAGCUCAACUAUAGUAAGCUUUUAAAACUGCUCAUCUUGAGGUAUGGAAGGGAAAGUGGAAUUCCUAGUGUAGCGGUGAAAUGCGCAGAUAUUAGGAGGAAUACCAGUGGCGAAGGCGACUUGCUGGAAUCUAACUGACGCUGAGGUACGAAAGCGUGGGGAGCAAACAGG
rnacentral:rRNA from 1 species